GUGGAUGUGUGUUUGGAGGUGGAGGUGUGUGUUUGGAUGUGUGUGUGUCCAGGGAGGGAGGGGACCCAGUAGGACCCCCUGAAACACGCACUGAGUGCUGGAAAACACCCCUAUGGUUAGAGUGUGUGUGGAGGUGUGUGUGUGGAGGUGUGUGUGUGGAGGUGUGUGUGUGGAGGUGUGUGUGUGUGGAGGUGUGUGUGUGGAGUGUGUGUGUGUGGAGGUGUGUGUGUGGAGGUGUGUGUGUGGAGGUGUGUGUGUGGAAGUGUGUGUGUGGAGGUGUGUGUGUGUGGGAGUGUGUGUGUGUGUGUGUGUGGAGGUGUGUGUGUGUGUGUGUGUGUGUGUGUGUGUGUGUGUGUGUGUGUGGAGGUGUGUGUGUGUGUGUGUGUGUGUGUGUGUGUGUGUGUGUGUGUGUGUGUGUGUGUGUGUGUGUGUGUGUGGAGGUGUGUGUGUGUGUGUGUGUGUGUGUGUGUGGUGUGUGUGUGUGUGGAGGUGUGUGUGUGUGUGGGUGUGUGUGUGUGGAGGUGUGUGUGUGUGUGUGU
ensembl:lncRNA